rnacentral:rRNA from 1 species
GACGAACGCUGGCGGCGUGCCUAAUACAUGCAAGUCGAACGCAGUGGGGACGGGUGAGUAACACGUGGGUAACCUCCCAUCAGAGGGGAUAACACUUGGAAACAGGUGCUAAACCGAUACUGAUGUAUGGACCCGCGGGGCAUUAGCUAGUUGGUGGGGUAACGGCUCACCCAGGCCACGAUGCAUAGCAGGCCUGAGAGGGUGCUCGGCCAAACGGGGACUGAGAAACGGCCCAGACUCCUACGGGAGGCAGCAGUAGGGAAUAUUCGGCAAUGGACGAAAGUCUGAACGAGCAACGCCGCGUGAGUGAAGAAGGUUUUCGGAUCGUAAAACUCUGUUGUUAGAGAAGAGGUAACUAACCAGAAAGCCACGGCUAACUACGUGCCAGCAGCCGCGGUAAUUC